AACAACUUGCAUAAGUUGCGUUGGGAGCUUUCAUCACUGUACAUUUUGUGAGGUGUGCUCAGUUGGUCAUGAGCUGUUGGCUCUCGUAAAAGAAGAGAAACGGUUACCACAGACGUCUUUACAACAGCUAACUCGACACCUUUGCGUCUACAAGAAGACUGCAUCGAGUUAGAAACUUCUUGGUGUGAUUCUAGAGUUAAACUUUUGAACAGACUUCAACUUAGCCGAACAUGCAUACAGAUUUAUACUUUUAUUUGAAAUCAGUUCUCAGAAGCAUGUUGAUUUCGAAAGUAGCUGCAUUGGAAUAUAAAACACCGUUUCUUCGCUGGAUGAAUUUUGCGAGACUGUUGCCUUAUAAUGGUCGACUUACUUCUUAGCUGGUUGUUCUUUAGUAUGGUGGAUUGUUGGUGAUUUAUUGGCUCUGGUAACAUGGGGGGGUGCACAUUUCACUUGUAUAACUGGUGAUGUUGCAGCUAAGUGGAAAAUUGAUGUAUUGUUUCAUUGAUUGGUAAUGAACAAUUUCUCUGUUGAUAUGGUAAGGAUUAUUGUUUAUAAUAUUAGAUGCGAGGAAGUCAGUUCUGUUGUCCAUUUUUCAAUAUCUUAUAAUUAUUUAGCUUCUUGUUACAUCUUGAUCUUGUUAAACACUCUCCGCGCUUAAUCAGGUGAAGGUUGAGAACCUCAAAAAUGAGGAUGACGGUCUUUAACUCAGCGAUGAUUGUCUUUGUUGCUGAUUUUUUUGGCAUUGCGUUAAUGGAAAGUUGAAGACUAGGCGGAAGAAAGAAAUAUCCCCGAGAAAAUUCGAAGACUGGUGCAUAAAGAGCGGGAAAUGAGUGACAAUUGACAGAACUUGUGAAUUAUCUGGACAAACUGACUAAAAAAGAAUUUCCUUCCUAGAUUUACUCGUCAUUCACACAGGACUACAGUGUUCCACGUAGCUGCAACGUCACCAGAUAUACCAAUGGCAUGUGCUCCACCCAUGUUACUGGAGCUGGUGAAUCACCAGCAAUUCACCAUACUAAAGAAUAACCAGCUUAGAAGUAACUCCCACCAUAAUGUGGCGAUAUUUAUCACGAAACUAUUUGUUUCGGAACGAAAUCGUUUUUCUUCAUCGAGUACGGUUAAGCAGAAAAGAUUAAAGAAUUGAGAAAUAUUUGUGAACGAAAGAUGAAAAGAAGUAAUUCACACACACAAACCAUUUGAUGCCUAGUGAAGAUUAUUUGUUGACAGAACGAUUUUUAAUAAAUUCAAUCAUCCAGCAAUAUUUUUUUUGCUAAAAGGGAUGACCUUUUGAUGGAUAUAUAAUAUGCAGAAUUUCUAAAUAUAUAUUUGAAAAAGUAAGUUAUAGUUAUGCCAAGGAAAAUGUUUGUGGAGCAAAUUAUCAAAUCAGGUUACUUUCUUUGUUUGUUAUCUAAUUGUGACCAGGACGACUUUUUAAGUUCAAUCCGCCAGCAGUACUAUUACGUUUUGUUAAAAGGGAUGAUUAACCUGUUGUUGAAUAUAUAAUAUGUAGAAUUUCUAAUUAUAUAUUCGCCAGUUUGA